UUUGAAGGACUUAGAAGCUUACUUGGCUCUAAUAUGCAAGUUGAUCUAGGCACCAAGUGCUGCUCAUCAAGGGUUCAUAAAGAAACAAAUAGUAUGUACUGCUUAUCCUUAACAAUGAUUUCAUACCCAACAAUUUUGUUAUGUUUCCAAUAAUUUGAUUGCAACCAUUUUUCUCAAAAAUAAAGCAAGCAUGAAUCAAGAAAUACGAAAAGAUCUUUUUUCUUCUCAUUAGAGAUUUGCCAUUUUUUUUGAGAAAAUUAGGCAAAUAUCACUUAACUAGAAUUCUCAAAUAUCUCAAGUUACAGUUUGUUAUCUUUCUUUAAAUUAUUAUCCGAUUAUUUUACCCUCAAAUUGCUUAUACUUUCUUUCUGCUAAGCAAAAGAUGUUUUGCUAAAAGUAAUCCAGUUAUAAGAAAUUCCAUUCAAAGGCUGCGUUAAUCUUUGCUUAAACAAAUGAAACUGCUCUCAGUCAGUCUUCGUCAAAAUUCUUGUGAUCUGAAGUGAUAAAGAUACCAAGGCCAUCUAGAAGAAAGAAACAGGAAAAAGCUUCGCCUUAGUUUAAUGGUCAAAAACCUCCCUUGAAACUUGCAAAACCCAAGGACUAAAGCCAUUCUAUAGACACAAGUUGGGAUAUCCUGACUGCCCCAAAGUCCUUGCUCGUUGACAUUGGAGCAUUGGAACUGGUCCUUGAUGACAUAAUGCUUUCUUUAUAUGUCCUGUAAAUCAAGAUGUGUAACAACCUGGAGCUCACCCAAAAUGGCUAGGCGAAAAUAUUAUUUAGAUUUCUUAAUCCUAUAUAAAUAUCCAAGAUCUACCAAGUGAAUAAACGAUGUGGGUCUAAGCACACACUCGCAUUGAUCCUCAUAUACUCUUCGGGACUAAACACACAACCGCACGGUUCGUUUAAGUCUUGACGUUCUCAUCAGGCUAAGAGUUCAAAUCCAUUCAAAUCUAAUCACAACCACUACGAUCGGGCCUAUAGUCAACUUCAAUAAAUCUGUGCUACAGUGUCCCCUAGUACACAUAUGUUAUGGGCCGGAUCCACUCUAAUACCAUUGUAAUAAUCCAGAAGCUUAUCGAAAAUAAAUAGUCUGAAUAUAUUAUUUGGAUUCUUUUAUCCUAUAUAAGUAUCCAAGAACUAUUCAGCAAAUAACCAAGAUAGGACUAAAGACAUGUCUGCAUAGCUCCUCAUAUACUUCUCCGGAACUAAACACACUUCCGCAUGGAUCCUCAUAAGAUGCGCAUCAGCAGCAUUAUUUAAUCCGCAUGCCAGUUAGAUGGUUAUUAGUUGUGAAUUUAAGCGAGUAAGACUAGACUCCGGUAAUCUGACCGGUGCUCGUAAUAUUUCAUGAUGAUAUCUGGAUAAAGGUUUUCAAAGUUAUGGAGAGUGCGUAAUCGGUCCACGUUGCCAGCCCAACAUGUCAACAUCGCCAGCAGUUUCCGUCAUUAUAAAUGUAUUAAUGUUGGAUCCAGGGGCUUCGGAUCAUUCAAAACAAAUCUAUUGUCAUUCAAACAUCAUCCUUAAUAAAUUUAGUUCUUUUUUUUUAUUACUAUUGUUUGCUGAAACGGAAGUAUCGUACUAAACUAAUAAUAUCAGAAUCAUAUUAAAAACCACUCGUUUCAAUUUUUUUGUUAAAUACCUUGGCCCACCGGUCACACCAACAAUUGCCAUCAGAAACUUGAAGCUUUCCUGCACGGAGUUGGCAUCACCCAAGGCACUACUUAGUAAAUAAAAUCCGCAAUCCCCAUCUUGAAAGGCCUACGUUCACAAAAAGCCCCUAGAUCAUUGACUAUAGGCCUUCAUGACACAUUAUAUCAACAUCUAUUCUACCGAUAUACAGGUGGAAAACAAUGACCCCGGAGACUUGCUUGGCUCCCACGUAAGAAAAUGAGCACAAGAGAAAAAGAUGGGACAAUAGAGACGAAAGCAAAAAUUAAAACGUUUUUAGAGUGUUAAAAUAUUUGCAAAAGAUGAGAAUAUAAAAAAAUAAUUUUAUUUCUCUAUUCCGUUUCAGUAGAUCUUAGAGUUAUAUAUACUCGUAUACAGAUUCCAUAUAAGAAAAUAAUAUAGGUUAAUAU
rnacentral:lncRNA from 1 species